CAUGGCUCAGGAUGAACGCUAGCGUCUGGCCUAACACAUGCAAGUCGAGGGGCAGCGGGGAUAAGCUUGCUUAUCUGCCGGCGACCGGCGCACGGGUGCGUAACGCGUAUAGAAUCUGCCUUGUACUAGGGAAUAGCCCAGAGAAAUUUGGAUUAAUGCCCUAUAGUAUAUCGUUAUGGCAUCAUAAUGAUAUUAAAGGUUACGGUACAAGAUGACUAUGCGUCCCAUUAGUUAGUUGGUGAGGUAACGGCUUACCAAGACUGCGAUGGGUAGGGGCCCUGAGAGGGGGAUCCCCCACACUGGUACUGAGACACGGACCAGACUCCUACGGGAGGCAGCAGUGAGGAAUAUUGGACAAUGGGCGGGAGCCUGAUCCAGCCAUGCCGCGUGCAGGAAGACGGUCCUAUGGAUUGUAAACUGCUUUUAUACGGGAAGAACAAGGGGCACGUGUGCCCUUCUGACGGUACCGUAAGAAUAAGGAUCGGCUAACUCCGUGCCAGCAGCCGCGGUAAUACGGAGGAUCCAAGCGUUAUCCGGAAUCAUUGGGUUUAAAGGGUCCGUAGGCGGGCCAUUAAGUCAGGGGUGAAAGUUUGCGGCUCAACCGUAAAAUUGCCCUUGAUACUGGUGGUCUUGAGUUAUAGUGAAGUGGCUAGAAUAUGUAGUGUAGCGGUGAAAUGCAUAGAUAUUACAUAGAAUACCGAUUGCGAAGGCAGGUCACUAACUAUACACUGA
rnacentral:rRNA from 1 species